rnacentral:misc_RNA from 1 species
AUAAUUCUACCGACAAAAAUGUGGAAAGGAAUAUAAAAUUAAGUUUUCACAUAUUUGUGUAUAAACAUCUAACAAUGAAAAUAUACGUUCCAUCGAAUAUUUGAUAAAAACUAACAUAAAUCAGUUAAUAGAUUAAAAAGAUUAUGUUCAUACGUAUACAAAUAUCAAAUACUAACCAAAUAAUAUGAAAUAUCAAUUGUACAAAGUAUAAUUUAUAAUUAAAGAAUUACUAUUUUAAUCUAAUAAUAUAUUUAGUAAAAUGUACUGCCAAUACAACUUUAAGGCUGUCAAAAGAUCAAGUAUAUUUUUAUGCUAACUAUAUUUUUGUAAAUAGUAAAACAUAAAUUAUGUAAUUUCUAUUUUGCAAGAAUGUAUUGUUUAUUACGUUCUUGUUUUCAAAAAUGUGUUCAUUUAAUAAGAAAGAUCAAAUUAAAGUAUGUCUGCAUUUGUAUUGGUCUUGUCGCAGUGCUUGAUUUUUUUGGUGUAUUCACACAUAUGUUUGAAAUUACAUAUGAUUCAAAUUUUGUGUAUCCAUAUGAAGGUGACAUUCAUGAAUUUGUAAAUGCAUUACGACAUAAUGAAAAACCUGUUGUUGAUCCUAUAAAUGAUUAUAAUUUUUCAUUUUUGAUUGAUAAUCAUGAAAAAUGCAUAGAAACUCCUCGCACUACUUUUCGUGUUGUAUAUAUAGUGAAAUCUGCAGUAGAACAUUUUGAAAGAAGGUCAGCAAUUAGAAAUUCUUGGGGUUUUGAAAAACGAUUCUUUGAUGUACCUUCAAAAACAGUUUUUAUGUUAGGCAUAUCUCCCUCUGAUGAAAUUCAAGCAAAAGUAAAAGUUGAAGCUGCAACAUACAAAGAUAUUAUACAAGCAAAUUUUAUAGAUACAUAUUAUAAUAAUACUAUAAAAACUAUGAUGAGUUUUAAAUGGUUAAUAAAACGCUGCUUGAAUUCAAAGUUUUAUAUGUUUGUUGAUGAUGAUAUAUAUGUUUCGGUAAAAAAUGUUUUAAGAUUUAUAAGAAACCCAACUAAUUAUCCUAGUUAUUUGAAAGAACCCAAGAAAUUUGAAGCUCAUAAGAGGGAAAUCAAAGAUAGUGAUAUCAGAGAAGAACCAUAUAUUAAUGAUACUGUUAUACAAAAAAAUGUUCAUAUAUUGAAUAAGCACGAUUUACCUAUGUACAACAACUUAAAAGAGAAGAUUACUGCAGAAAAAAUUAUUCAUGGAUCAGAAGAAAAAUCUCUAUAUAACAGUCUAAAUACAAUUUCUUCAAUUAUUACCAAUUUUACAGAGAAAGAUAGGGAUAGUAAUAAAACUAUGAUGAAUGAACCUUUUAGAGUGAAAAGACAAAUUUUUGAUUUUGAACUUCCAGAAGAUGUUAGACUAUUUGCAGGAUUUGUAUUUGUCUCUUCACCACAUCGUCACAAAUCUUCUAAAUGGAUUCACUGGAAAUUUAAUUUAAAUCAUCGCAACCUCUACAACAGAACCUAAACAAACGGUUCAGUUUUGGCGCGGAAUUUGGAAAAAAAUUUCUUUCGACGCAUGCGCGCUUGUCAUUACAAAAUUAUAAUUCAAAAAUUAACAAAGCAGUCACACUUUUUAAUAACUACUAACAUUCAUACAUAGACAAUUAACAAAUGGAUGAUAUGAUGCGUAGCUGUACAUGUGACAAUAUAACGCACGGUGGUAAAGAUGGUAAUAUAAUGUAUGGCGAUAUAACGCGUGGUAAUAUAACAUAGAAUAAUAAAAUAGUAAGAUGAGUCAGAUUUUGUGUAAAUAGAUAAACACUGUUUAACUUAAGUAGUAAGUUAAGCAUUUAUUAAAUAAAUAAAAAUAAAAUUAACAUCAUAACAUUGUUAAUAACGAACACCUGUAUAUAAAGCAAUUUUCUAAUGUAUACUUAUUUUUACAAACUGACAAAUAAUUGUUGACAUUUAAAAUAUGACUUUUUUGUAACAACAAAAUAUUGCAUCUCUACAAACAUGUAGCUUGCUGCCUUGCCUUUUAAAGGCGUCACGAAACGUUUUCGAUUAGCAAGGUGCAAUAAAUGCACCUUUCGCUCAGGAUCUUUACGCCAACGUGAAAGCCUUCGAAACGCAGUUGUAUUCUGCACGCAUUCAUCGAUCGAAUGCGAAUAAGUCAGUAUCUUAUAAGUUGCUCUUAAAAUCAUUCUGCGUGUGUCUUUUAAAUUAAAAAGCAAGAGUGUUUUAUUAAAUAGUAUAACAUACCAAAUAUUGCACGAAUACAUAAUCAAGUGACAAUUAUGUUCCAGUAUUAUUUUGUGUUUAGUCGACGUUUUGUGACAAGAAAAAGACGUUUCGUACACACAUACGAAUUUACUAGUAUAUAAAAUACGACGAAUAAAAUUUACUUUCAACAAGUUUCUUUAACAUGAGUAUUUAACACAGUUCAGUUUCCUGUAACUAGUAUGUAUACAAAUAUGUACAUAAAUGUAUAAUAUAUGACACAGUUUGUUGAAAAAUACUACUUUUGUAAACAGAAUAUAUAAGUACUUGUUU